rnacentral:rRNA from 1 species
UACGUAGGGUGCGAGCGUUAAUCGGAAUUACUGGGCGUAAAGCGUGCGCAGGCGGUUCUCCAAGUCCGUUGUGAAAGCCCAGGGCUCAACCUGGGAAUGGCAGUGGAAACUAGGGGACUGGAAUCUGGCAGAGGGGGGUGGAAUGCCGCGUGUAGCAGUGAAAUGCGUAGAGAUGCGGCGGAACACCGAUGGCGAAGGCAGCCCCCUGGGCUGAGAUUGACGCUCAGGCACGAAAGCGUGGGGAGCAAACAGG